UACCGCGUGUGUGAAGAAGGNCUGAGGGUUGUAAAGCACUUUCAAUUGUGAAGAAAAGUUAGCGGUUAAUAACCGUUAGCCUUGACGUUAACUUUAGAAGAAGCACCGGCUAACUCCGUGCCAGCAGCCGCGGUAAUACGGAGGGUGCAAGCGUUAAUCGGAAUUACUGGGCGUAAAGCGUGCGUAGGCGGUUUAUUAAGUCAGAUGUGAAAGCCCCGGGCUUAACCUGGGAACUGCAUUUGAAACUGGUCAACUAGAGUAUGGUAGAGGAAAGUGGAAUUUCUGGUGUAGCGGUGAAAUGCGUAGAUAUCAGAAGGAACAUCAAUGGCGAAGGCAGCUUUCUGGACCAAUACUGACGCUGAGGUACGAAAGCGUGGGUAGCAAACAGGAUUAGAUACCCUGGUAGUCCACGCCGUAAACGAUGAUAACUAGCCGUUGGGGGGAUUUACCCUUUAGUGGCGAAGCUAACGCGUUAAGUUAUCCGCCUGGGGAGUACGGCCGCAAGGUUAAAACUCAAAGGAAUUGACGGGGACCCGCACAAGCGGUGGAGCAUGUGGUUUAAUUCGAUGCAACGCGAAGAACCUUACCUGGUCUUGACAUCCUGCGAACUUUCUAGAAAUAGAUUGGUGCCUUCGGGAACGCAGUGACAGGUGCUGCAUGGCUGUCGUCAGCUCGUGUCG
rnacentral:rRNA from 1 species